rnacentral:rRNA from 1 species
AAUAGAUACCCGGGUAGUCCACGCCGUAAACGAUGAGUGCUAAGUGUUAGAGGGUUUCCGCCCUUUAGUGCUGCAGCUAACGCAUUAAGCACUCCGCCUGGGGAGUACGGUCGCAAGACUGAAACCCAAAGGAAUUGACGGGGGCCCGCACAAGCGGUGGAGCAUGUGGUUUAAUUCGAAGCAACGCGAAGAACCUUACCAGGUCUUGACAUCCUCUGACAACUCUAGAGAUAGAGCGUUCCCCUUCGGGGGACAGAGUGACAGGUGGUGCAUGGUUGUCGUCAGCUCGUGUCGUGAGAUGUUGGGUUAAGUCCCGCAACGAGCGCAACCCUUGAUCUUAGUUGCCAGCAUUUAGUUGGGCACUCUAAGGUGACUGCCGGUGACAAACCGGAGGAAGGUGGGGAUGACGUCAAAUCAUCAUGCCCCUUAUGACCUGGGCUACACACGUGCUACAAUGGAUGGUACAAAGGGCUGCAAGACCGCGAGGUCAAGCCAAUCCCAUAAAGCCAUUCUCAGUUCGGA